rnacentral:rRNA from 1 species
AGCCGCGGUAAUACGGAGGGUGCGAGCGUUAAUCGGAAUUACUGGGCGUAAAAGCGCAUGCAGGCGGCCUGUUAAGUCAGAUGUGAAAAGCCCGGGCUUAAACCUCGGAAAUUGCAUUUGAAAAACUGGCAGGCUAGAGUCUUGUAGAGGGGGUAGAAUUUCAGGUGUAGCGGUGAAAAUGCGUAGAGAUCUGAAGGAAUACCAGUGGCGAAGGCGGCCCCUGGACAAAGACUGACGCUCAGAUGCGAAAGCGUGGGGAGCAAACAGGAUUAGAUACCCCUGGUAG